rnacentral:lncRNA from 1 species
CAUUAGGCCCGAGCGGAGUAUUAAUUACCACAAUGUUGAGAUCAGUCUGUUGUGCUUACUAUUUGUCCUGUUUGUUGUUUCUGUCGCUACAUAAAGCCUUUUGGCUUUGAAUGCAUUCCACUCAUUCUAUCCCUCUACCUCCUCCUCUCACCCCCUCUACCCUGCAUCCCCUCCCAUCAAGUGAUUGAUGGAGUGAAGGCAAACGGAGACACACACCGUUUGGCCCACAGUGCACGGCAGUAUCAGAGAGAGAGACAGCGAGAGAGAGAGAGAGAGAGAGAGGGAUAGAGAGAGAGAGAGAGAGAGAGAGAGAGAGAGAGAGAGAGAGAGAGAGAGAGAGAGACAGAGAGAGAGAGAGAGAGAGAGAGAGAGAGAGAGAGAGAGAGACAGAGAAACUCAGAGAGAGUGAGACAGAGAGAGAGAGAGACAGAGAGAGACUCAGAGAGAGAAAGAAGGUGAUAUAUAUAUGUAUAUAUAUAUACAUAUAUAUAUAUAUAUAUAUAUAUAUAUAUAUAUAUAUACAUAUAUAUAUAUCACCCUCUCUCUUGCUUUAUAUAUAUAUAUAUAUAUAUAUAUAUAUAUAUAAAGCAAGAGAGAGGAGGGGGUCUGGGGUAGCAGCAGGGGUGGUGGCUUGGUUGUCUGGGCUGGGUGUGGAGAGAGAGAGAGAGAGAGAGAGAGACAGAGAGAGAGAGGAGAGAGAGAGACACCAGGGACACAUACAGAGAGAGAGAGGAGAGAGAGAGAGAGAGAGAGAGAGAGAGAGAGGUAAAGAGCGGGGGGGAGGGGGGGGGGGGGGGGUUAGGGGAAGAGAGGGGGGAGAAGGGGAGCCCUGGGGGGGAGAGGGGGAGUGUGUGUGUUUGCAUGUGUGUGUUGGAUUAACAGGGAGUAGGCUGAAAGGAGGGAAAGCACAGAUAAAAAAUGAGGCAGGGAGCAAAAAAAAGAGAAGAAAUGAGAGAGACAUGUGGAGAUGGGGUGAUAGCCAGAGAAGAGGUGUGACUGUGAGUGUGUGUGUGUGUGUGUGUGUGUGUGUGUGUGUGUGUGUGUGUGUGUGGCAAGAGAGAGAAAGAUAGAGGGGAAGAGAGGGAGGGAAAGAGAGACAUGGGAGGGAGAGAGGAGAGAGAAGGGAGGGAGAGAGAGGAGAGCUCAGCUGAAAGCCACAGACUUAAUUCUAUG